rnacentral:rRNA from 1 species
AUUGAACGCUGGCGGCAGGCCUAACACAUGCAAGUCGAGCGAGCGGCGGACGGGCGAGUAAUGUAGGGGGCUUGCCCGAUAGAGGGGGAUCACUACUGGAAACGGUGGCUAAUCCCGCAUACUAUCGGAUAACCCAUAUGGGAUUGGCUAGUAGGUGGGGUAAAGGCUCACCUAGGCGACGAUCUCUAGCUGGUCUGAGAGGAUGAUCAGCCACACGGAGACUGAGACACGGCCCAGACUCCGACGGAGGCAGCAGUGGGGAAUAUGGCACUAUGGGCGAAAGCCUGAUGCAGCCCUGCCGCGUGUAUGAAGGAGGCCUUAGGGUUGUAAAGUGCUUUCAGCGGGGAGGGGUUACCCGCAGAAGAAGCACCGGCUAACUCCGUGCCAGCAGCCGCGGUAAUAC